rnacentral:tRNA from 1 species
GCCGACCUAGCUCAAUUGGUAGAGCAACUGACUUGUAAUCAGUAGGUUGGGGGUUCAAGUCCUCUGGCCGGCACCA